CCAGUAUUUGGGUCCAGAAGAUAUUCUCUUUAUAGUCUUGAGAAGCACAAUAAUCAAUUCCUUUAAGAGAGAAAAAUGUGUUUUUUUCCAAACAUAUUGCACGGAAAAGAUAAGGCAGCUUCUCCCUAGGGAGAUGGGAAGAACAAACAGUGUUGUCAACACAGGAAGGCUGCUGUAGAGGUGGACACAUCCCCCUGCCACCCUGAUUAGAGGAAGCCAGGAAGUAAGGGCGGUUUACUUGGAAACUACAAUGAGAACCAUGCUGCAGCCCCAAGUGGGGAAGGGGAGAAGCAACCUAAUCCGGGGAAGGCUGUGAUUCCAACAUGGCAUUUUCCUUCCAUCCUCCACAGCAUGUCUUUCUGAAUCUGUGUCUGCAAUGCCAGGGAAGAGCCAUCAGGCCUGUGCUCCCCAAAACAGAGCUGAAGAGUGGACCUCAGGAACCUGGUAAAGAUUUAGAAUGAGAGAAAAAAACUAUAGAACUAUGAAUUCAGACUGACUCUAGGGUAAAAAAAAUGAGUUUGUAUGGUAGAUUUGCACUGUGCAAAUUUAGCUAAGCAGGAGCUAUGUUUCCCAGGAUCCCUGUCUCUGCAUAAUUUCAGGUUAGCGUGGGCCACCAGAAACACACAUGAUGGGAUUUGGAAGGCUGAAGUUAAGCGUCAAUCACAUUCCUUUAAAGCACUGAAGAUCGGUGCAGGCAAAAGUGCAGAGCACAGGCACCACUGCAGCUCACCAAGUGAUUUCUGCUCUCUGGCUCACAUUAUUGACAUUGAGCAGAAGCCGGGCAUGCAGCUUCAUCAGCUCUCACCAGAUUUGCUUCCUUCAGUUUCUCCAGCUCCUGGGUCAGUUACAUGUUUAGCAACAUGAUGAAGCAAAGCAGUUUCUCUUGCAGGUCACUGGCAUCAUUGAAUUUGGAGGCUUCAAGACAGAGGCUGAAAAACAGUUUGCCUCUGUGAUUUCCAGCCUGUCCCCCUGAAUUCCAAUUUAUCAUUUCUCUCCAACAUUUCAUGUCUGUCUUUCCUUCUCGAUGUCCUGCUCUGCUAACUUCAGUCUCCAAUGCAAGACAUAGAAGCAACAGCCACACAUAAACUGUUUAGUCAGCUCCCAUAAUUGGGAAAAGUAAAAUAUUUGCAAUAAACAAUUGAUUCUACAUCACUUCCUGUGGUUCUGUUUCUCUGGGCAAACCCAACUUGAUACCAUCUGAAUAGUAGAAGUGAACCCACCAAUGUUCUUUGUGCUGGAAUUGACCUGGUUGUUAACCUAACUGGAUGAUUUGAUAGAGGCAAGAUAGAACAAUUGAGAUUUCUGACAAAGUUGUCAGGGAAAUAUAAUUGUAAAAUUGAAGAAUGGAACAGGAGCAGAUGGCAAUAAAUACCCAUGCUGAAGCAAUGAAAAUGACAGUUGGAAACCUUGAGAAUUCUGAAUUAAAUGUUUGGAGGAAGAUUGUCAAGAGAAAAAAGUUACAUGUAUAAAAUCUACAGUAGAAUUGGAAGAUGGAUCUAAUGAGAAUAACACUAAGGAAACACCAUCCUUCAAAAACUAAAAGCUCCUUGAUGAGGUAGACACCAGGCGAAAGGCAAGAUGCCAGAGUAUAAAUGACUUUGAGACAAGAAAAUGAAGUGUCCCAGAAGAGGAAAUGCAGUAAGUGUUGGGGAUAAAAAGAAGGUUAGAAAGCGAACAAUUUCAGAAGGGAAGAAAUGACCUCUAAAAGGGAAGCUGGGAUGAUAGCAAAGGCAAUGUCAACGUCCUCACAAUUUCACUUAGAUUUUCCUGGCUACUCUGCAGAAGGCAUGAUAAGAUAAAUGCUUAUUGAUUUCAAGAUCAAGGCAACAGGAUCCUUUCUGUUUAAUUAUUUCUUUGUAAGUUAAAAACUAAAUGCUUUGGCAAGUGCUGUAAAUACAAAGGGCAGGGGUAUUCAGUGCCCUUAGAAUCAAUGGCAAGUUCAAGCUGUGUGUGACAAGGGAUAACCAUUAUUCAUCCAUUCAUUCUAACAAAGUCUGUAAAUGACUACCAUGCAUUAGGUGAUGGUCUGGUCACUGAAAUAUCAGAGACAGGUAAAGCUCAGUCUCUGUUCUUAAGGACCUCAGGGUUUAGAAGAAGAAAAAGACAUAUAAGUAAGUACAAUAGAAAUAUAAACAAGAACCAAAGGUAGCUCAGGGGAAGUGAGUAACUCUUAGAGGAAAAUAUUAAAUAAAGGAUUUCUGGAUGAGAGGAUGUUUGAACUGAAUUCUGAAGAUGAAUAAAAGUCCUUCUGGAGAAAUAAAAACACCAUUUUGGCAGAAAUAAUAGUAUAUGUGAAUACAUUUAGAACAAAGCAUGGAAACUAUGUUUAGGAUAUUGUCAUAAGCUUGGUAUCUUUAGAGCAUUUUGUGUAAGUGGUGAGGGGAGAAAAUGGGAGGAGAUAAAAAACGUAAACGUAGGGUAGGGUAGAUUAUGAAUGGAUAGAAAUGUCUCUUAAAGCAUCUGAACUAUACCCAAAUGCCUAGGAGGAGAA
rnacentral:lncRNA from 1 species